rnacentral:rRNA from 1 species
ACGUAGGAUCCGAGCGUUGUCCGGAUUUAUUGGGUGUAAAGGGAGCGCAGGCGGGUCUAUAAGUCGAGGGUGAAAUCUUACAGCUUAACUGUAAAACUGCCUUCGAUACUGUAGAUCUUGAGUGUAGGAAAGGGCGAUGGAAUUCAUGGUGUAGCGGUGAAAUGCGUAGAUAUCAUGAAGAACACCAGUUGCGAAGGCGGUCGCCUAGCCUAUCACUGACGCUCAUGCUCGAAAGUGUGGGGAGCAAACAGGAUUAGAUACCCUGGUAGUCCACACCUUAAACGAUGAAUACUCGGUGUCGGGUCGUGAGACUCGGUGCCAAAGCUAACGCAUUAAGUAUUCCACCUGGGGAGUACGAUCGCAAGGUUG